AGUGAGCCGAGAUCAUGCCACUGCACUCCAACCUGGGUGACAGAGCAAGACUCCAUCUCAAAAAAAAAAAAAAAAAAAAAGACAAAACCUUAACUUUUCAUUCAAAGAUACUGAAAAACUUAAUGCUAAGAAAGGAAUGACAGAUCACAUUUGAGAAGAUAAUAACUGAACAUUUUCUAGAAUUCGGACCGGGACGGUGGCUCACACCUGUAAUCCCAGCACUUUGGGAGGUCGAGGCGGGUGGAUUGCUUGUGCCCAGGAGUUCAAGACCAGCCUGGGCAACAUGACAAAACCCUAUCUCUACAAAAAAUUAGCGGGAUAUUGUGGUGCUUGCCUGUAGUCCCAGCUAUCCAGAAGGCUGAGGUGGAAGGAUCACCUAAGCCUGGUGGUUGAAGCUGCAGUGAGCCAAUAUUGCACCACUGCAUUCCAGCCUGUGUGACACAGUGAGACCCUGUCUCAAAAAAAAAAAAAAAUUACUAAAGGAUAUGCCUCUGCAAGAAGAAAAGUUAAUCCAGAAGGAAAGUGUGGGCAUCAAGAAGCAAAAGGUAGUUUCUAUAGUGGGAGCAGUGGUUGACUUAAAGUAAUGUGACCAUAGGAAUUAAUUUAACAGGUCAGUAAGUUUAAAUUAUUUAUUGACUCUAAACCCUUUUUUGUGAUGGAAGGCCAAAAUAAUUUUUUUUUUUUUGAGAUGGUCUCACUCUGCAAUGGCAUGAUCAUGGCUCACUGCAGCCUCAACCUCUGGGGCUUGAGUGAUCCUCCUGCCUCAGCCUCCUGAGUAACUGGACUAUAGGCAUGCUCCACCACACCCAGCUAAUUUUGUUUUAUUUUUUCUUUUUGGUAGAAAUGGGGUUUUGCCAUGUUGCCCAGGCUGGUCUCGAACUCUUGGCCUCAAGCGAUCUUUCUGCUUUGGCCUCUCAAAGUGCUGGGUUUAGAGGUGUGAGCCACUACGCCUGGCCUGAAAUGAUUUUUUUUUUUUUUUUUUUUUUGGAGACAGGGUCUCACUGUGUCACCCAGGCUGGCAUGCAGUGCCACGAUAUUGGCUCACUGCAACCUCUGCCUCCUUGGGUUCAAGUGAUUAUCCUACCUCAGCCUCUCAAGUAGCUGGGAUUACAGGCGUGCACCACCACAUUUUUGUAUUUUUAGUAGAGACGGGGUCUCACCAUGUUGGCCAAGCUGGUCUUGAACUCCUGACCUCAAAUGAUCUAUCUGACUUGGCCUCCUAAAGUGCUGAGAUUACAGGUGUGAACCACUGUGGCUGGCCCCAAAAUAAAAGUUUAUUUUUGUUUUUGUUUUUCCCGAAAUAAAAAUUUAAACCAAGACAAAAAUGUAACGAGUGGCGUUAUUUGUACAUUUUUGCAGAUCUCUUUAAUGUUUGUCUUAAUAGAAGUCAGCUGGAUUCUCAUAUAUGCUUCUGUGUUCAGUAUGUCGCAGUAUUUUCUGGGUUGAAGUACCCGAAGAAAAUCCAACCUCACACAGACAAGUAGUUGGGAAAGGGAUUAUUUUAAUAGCUUUUUCACUUGAAAGCUUAAAUGUUUUCUGUUACAACAAAUACUGAGUUGUUUUUCUUGAAGUGACAGGGUUACUUGAUUUUUGAGAAAAUGUCUGCCACAUACCCACAUCUGUAGAUCCGUAGUUGUCUAUCAGUUAUUCUUGCAAAUAAAAAUGGUGCUCCCUGAGAAAAGUAGCUGGUUCAGCCCAACUCAAAGAAUUGCAAUGUCUUUCCAUGAGACAACUCUUGUAUUUCUGUGUGUGGAAGUGUUUUAUGCAUGCUUCCCAUGUUAUCACAACUUUUAAAAAAUGUGUAUUCAUGGGUCAAGGAUUUAUAAAAUUAACAAUUUUUAUUUUCUCAUCUGGGGCAAUCUUAAGUGAAACUGGCUUUUUCUGUGAGUGCAUGAUGAAGAAUACAGUGACUAAUGGACAGUUUGAUAACACUGCCUAGAUUCAUACUAAGACACCAGCUCUUUUACCCAUCAUCAGUUUUGUACCAUUAAUGCAAAUAUCAAUCAAUUGAGAACAAUUUGUAGUAUUAUUAUAAAAAUAGCUUUAACCUUUCAGACCCUUGAAAAGGCCUUGGGGAACAUACUCUGAGAAGUGCUGCCCUAAAUAGUAAUAGUGAGAGAGGACCUGUCCAAUGGUCCUCUCUUCACAUUCCCCAGGAAGAGAGACAUAGCUGCAGACAUUUAGAGUAGACAUAAAGUUAAGUGUGUCGCUUUAAAAUCAAGAGUAACUACUAAAAAACCCAGACACAUCUAUAGUUUUCAAAUUAGCACAGCUAAAAAAGGGAAUAUAGAAAUCAAUUCAAUAGAAGGAAGGAAGAGACUCAGAAAAAGGGAUAACAUCUUGGGUGUGAUGGCUCAUGCCUAUAAUCCCAGCUGUCGUGGGAGGACCUGGGCAACACACAGUGAGACCCUGUCUCUACAAAAAAUAUAAAAAAUUAACCAGAUGUGCUGGUGCACACCUAAAGUCCCAGCUGCUUGGGAGGCCGAGAUGGGAGGAUUGCUUGAGCCCAGGAGAUUGAAGCUGCAGUGAGCUGUGAUUGUGCCAGUACAUUCCAGCCUGGAUGACAGAGACCUUGUCUCGUUUUAAUACAACAAUGGGCAAAAGAAGUUCAAGAAAGGAAAUCAGAAAUCUCAUGAGUAUAAAAAAUCUCAUGAGUAUAAAAAAAAAAAAGGAAGAGAAGCAAAAUUCUUACAAAUUUGGCAGUGUGCUAAAAUAAAAUAUGAGGCUGGAUGCAGUGACUCACACCUGUAAUCCCAGCACUUUGGGAGGCCAAGGCAGAUGGAUCAUCUGAGGUCUGGAGUUCGAUACCAGCCUGGCCAACAUGACAAAACCCUGUCUCUACUAAAAAUACAAAAAAUUGGCUGGGCAUAAUCCCAGCUACUCGGGAGGCUGAAGCAGGACAAUCGCUUGAACCCAGGAGGUGAGGUUGCAGUGAGCCGAGAUCGCGCCAUUGCACUUCAGCCUGGGCAAGAAGAGUGAAACUCUGUCCCAAAAUAAAUAAUAAAAAUAAAAUAAUAUACAAUAGACAAGGAGGAUUUAUUCUGGAAUGCAGUAAUUUCUUUCUUUUUUAUUUUAGGGGCAGAGUCUUGCUCUAUCACCGAGGCUGGAAUGCAGUGGCAAGGCCUUUGCUUACUGCAGUCUCAACCUCCUGGGCUCAAGCUAUCCUCCCACUACCUCAGCCUCUCCAGGAGCUGGGACUACAGGCACAUACCACCCACUAACAAUUAUCACCUGGCUAAUUAUUGAAUUUUUGUAUAAUUUUUUGUAGAGACAAGGUCUCACUUUGCUACCCAGGCUGGUCUUGAAUUGGACUCAAGUGAUCCUCUUGCCUUGGCUUCUCAAAGUGUUGGGAUUACAGGCAUGAACAACUGCACCCAGUCCAAGAAUAAUUCUUUGAAAAUAUUUACACUUUUUUGCUCAAAAUUCUCCUGUGGCAAAAAUACAGAGUUCUGCCCUGAGGGCCUUUGCACCUCUGGUUCCUUCAGCCUAGCAUGGACUUUCUUUGUUUUCAGAGACAGACUCUCAUUCUGUCACCCAGGCUGGAGUGCAGUGGUGUAGUCACAGCUCAUUGCAGCCUCGAACUCCUAGACUCAAGUGAUCCUCCUUCCUCACCCUCCCAAAUUGCUGGGAUUACACACAUGAACCACCAUUCCUGACCUUGUACUUUGUUUGUUUGUUUUUUUGGAGUCUGGCUCUGUCGCCCAGGCUGGAGUACAGUGGUGCGAUCUCAGCUCACUGCAACCUCCACCUCCUGGGUUCAAACAGUUCUCAUGCCUCAGCCUCCCAAGUAGCUGGGACUACAGGCGUCCACCACCACACCUGGUUAAUUUUUGUAUUUUUAGUAGAGACAGGGUUUCACUCUAUUGGCCAGGCUGGUCUCCAACUCGUGACCUCAGGUGAUCCACCCACCUCAGUCUCCCAAAGUGCUGGGAUUACAGGAGUGAGCCACUGAGCCCGGCCUAUCUGUCUGUCUGUCUGUCUGUCUGUCUGUCUAUUUAUUUUUGAGAUGGAGUCUCACUCUGUCGCCCAGGCUGGAGCGCAGUGGUGUGAUCUUGGCUCACCGCAACCUCCGCCUCCCGGGUUCAAGCGAUUCUCCUGCUGCCCGGCUAAUUUUUUGUAUUUUUGGUAGAGAUGGGGUUUCACUGUGUCAGCCAGGAUGGUCUCGAUCUGCUGACCUCGUGAUGUGCCUGCCUCGGCCUCCCAAAAUGUACUUUGUUUUUUUUUUCCUUUUGGGAGUCUUGCUCUGUCACCCAGGCUGGAGUGCAGUGGUGUGAUCUCAGCUCACUGCAAUUUCCAUCUCCUGGAUUCAAGCAAUUCUCCUGCCUCAGCCUCCCAAGUAGCUGGGACUACAGGUGUGCACUACCACGCCUGGUUAAUUUUUGUAUUUUUAUAGAGACAGGGUUUCACUAUGUUGGCCAGACUGGUCUUGAACUCCUGACCUCAGGUGAUUCACCCACCUCAGCCUCCCAAAGUGCUGGGAUUACAGGCGUGAGCCACCACGCCCAGCCCUUAUACAUCUUUUAUUGCAAUCUUAGUUAUAAACAAAGUAGAAGUAUUUAUUUUUAUUUUAUUUUAUUUUAUUUUGAGAUAGAGUUUCACUCUUGUUGCUCAGGCUGGAGUGCAAUGGCAUGAUCUUGGCUCACGGCAACCUCUGCCUCCUGGGUUCAAGUGAUUCUCCUGCCUCAGCCUCCCGAGCAGCUGGGAUUACAGGCACCCGCCACAACACCCAGCUAAUUUUUUGUAUUUUUAGUACGAUGGGGUUUCACCAUGUUGACUAGGCUGAUCUUGAACUCCUGACCUCAGGUAAUCCACUGGCCUCGGCCUCCCAAAGUGCUGGAAUUAUAGGUGUGAGCCACCGCUCCAGGCCUAUUUAUUUUUUGGGAUGAUGUCUCAAUCUUUUGCCCAGGCUGGAGUGCAGUGGCGUGAUCUCAGCUCACUACAACCUCUGCCUCCCGGGUUCAAGUGAUUCUCCUGCCUCACCCUCCUGAGUAGCUGGGACUACAGGCACGCACCCCCGUGCCUGGCUAAUUUUUGUGUGUUUAGUAGAGACUAUGUUGGCCAGGCUGGCCUCGAACUCCUGAUCUCAUGAUCCACCCACCUUGCCCUCCCAAAGUGAUGGGAUUACAGGCGUGAGUCACCGUGCCCAGCCAAUAUUUAUUUAUUUAUUUACUUACUUACUUAACAUAGAGACAGGAUCUUGCUCUGUCAUCCAGGCUAGAGUGCAGUGUUGCCAUCCCAUCAUAGCUCACUGCAGCCUCAAACUCCUGAACUCAAGUAAUCCUCCUGCCUCAGCCUCCCCAGUAGCUGGGACUACAGGCGUGUGCCACCAUGCCUAAGUUUUAAAUUUUUUUGUAGAGAUGGGGUCUCACCAUGUUGCCCAGGCUGGUCUCACAUUCCUGGGCUCAAACAAUCCUCCCAUCUCAGCCUCCCAAAGUGCCUGGAUUACAGGUGUGAGCCACCGCGCCUGGCCUACUCAAAGUCCUAUCUGGGAAAAUGCUAUCUGGUGAUAAUGUGUAAUUUUCAAUUUUUUAAAAAAAUUGGUUCUGUAAUAGUCUUUUAGGCCCUUCCCCUUUGUAUAAAGAUGUAUUUAUAAGUAAAUGAAUUAUGAAAUUGGUUCAUUUCCAUCUUUUUAAAAGGUAGUCAAAAAUAAUUGUCAGAUGCAAUGAGAUAUUGGAUGAGCUGCAUAGGUAAGAUAUAAGCAGUGUACAAAGUGGGAUAAAAAUGCCACUUUACAUACUUCUUUUUUUAUUUUUUUGAGACAGAGUUUUAUUCUUAUUGCCCAGGAUGAAGUGCGGUGGCUCGAUCUUGGCUCACUGCAACUUCCACCUUCCAGUUUCAAGCAAUUCUUCUGCCCUAGCCUCUCGAGUAGCUGGGAUUACAGGCAUGUGCCACCAUGCCCGGCUAAUUUUUUUGUAUUUUUAGUUGAGACGGGGUUUCACCAUGUUGGCCAGGCUGGUCUGGAGCUCCUGACUUCAGGUGAUCUGCCCACUUCGACUCCGAAAGUACUGGGGUUAUAGGCGUGAGCCACCACGCCCGGUCCACUUUUCAUACUUUCUAAAACAAUAUUUAGGGAUUUUUGUGUUAGCCGCUCUCCUAUCUCAUUUCUCCAAUUGAAGUAAUGCAUAAAUCUUACAUUCCCUUUUUUCUCUCAUUCUUGGAUAAAUGAAUGUCUAUAAUGAAAAGAGCUUCAUAUCAAUAGCCCUCUCAGAUUUGUUCUGAAUUUUGCCAAAUAUUUGUAUAACUCUGCAAAAGACUUUCUUUCUCGGCCUUCUCCUUUAGAGGGAAAAACAAAUGGUAGUGUGACAGCUUACCUCCUAGCGUUGUUGUGAGGUUUGGCUGGCACAAGAUAAAGUGCCGUGUAAUUACUCUGAAAUGUUUGUAAUUAAUAAAGAAAUGAAUUGUAGGCACUUUGUCAGUAGAAACCACUGUGAUUUGGAAACGCAAUAUUUCAAUAAUAAAGACUAUAAAUUUUAAAAAAGAAAAAAAUUAUCUCCAAAUUAUAAAUUAAAUGGUAUACAUAAUGACUUUCCUUAGAACUUGAAAAGCUUAACCCAAAAUUUAUAUGAAAAGGCAAGAGCCUGGAAUGGUUAAGAGAACGUUAAAGAAGAAGAAGAGGCUGGGCGUGGUGGCUCACACUUGUAAUCCCAGCACUUUGGGAGGCCGAGGCAGGCGAAUCACGAGGUCAGGAGAUCGAGACCACGGUGAAACCCUGUCUCUACUAAAAAAUACAAAAAAAUUAGCCGGGCGUGGUGGCGGGCGCCUGUAGUCCCAGCCACUCGGAGAGGCUGAGGCAGGAGAAUGGUGUGAACCCGAGAGGUGGAGCUUGCAGUGAGCCGAGAUUGCGCCACUCACUCCAGCCUGGGCGACAGAGCGAGACUCCGUCUCAAAAAAAAAAAAAAAAAGAAGAAGAAGAAUGUGAGACUUACCCUUAUAGAGACCACAAUUAACCAUAAAGCCAUAGAUGUUCUCAAGCCUAGUAUAGUGCCUGACACAGACAGUAGUCAAUGAAUGUUUGCUCAGUAGACUGAUGGGUGGAACAAUGAGUUGCUUGGGAGUCAGGAUUAACUCUGGAAGUGGUAGUUGUGGGAAGGGUUGAACCUGAAGAUUAGGGUGACUCAGAACUGCAAAGACCAGGGAAGUUGAGUUCUGAGAAAGGGCAGGACAGAGAGCUGACUAAUUUGUUUCAUUUGUCUACACAUACCCUUAAGCAAAUUUUAUCUUGUACAGUUUGAGUAUGGGGUUUGUGUUUGUGUAAAAUUCAGCAAGCCUGUAACAGGAAUGUACUCAGUAUUAAGUGUGGUGUCAGAUUGGCUGCAGUGUAGGAAAGCUUUUAUUCCAUGGGAAAGAAGUCCAUGAUUUUUGGAGCUAUCUAUUAUGCAGUUAUGUUGCUUUAGAUUUAGUUAUUUGGAUCUCAUGAUUGAAAUAAUAUUUUAAAUUGGGGACAUCUUUUGUUUGGGAGAGGUUGUUUAGAAAUGACAGGUGAAGAAUAAAAUUAUUAGAGUAAAAUUUGGCCGUAUGUGACAUGGGCAUUAAUGAUCCAAUGAUUUAUAUAUGCCAGUAAUAGAAUUUACAAAGGACAGCCAAUAGUGAGAUGCUGUUCUCUGGUGGCAUUCUGGUAAUAACCAGCUCUCGUAUGGUGCUUGAUAGUUUUCCAAAGUACUUUUGCAUACCUUAUGUUAUUUGUGCCUCCAAGGUAUGUAAAGGAGGUUUAUUUCAAUUCAGUGAUCAUUUAUUGAACAGGUUUUGUGCCAAGUUUUGUACUAGAUCUUGGGAAACCAGCAAUAAGACAAAGAACUUGACUCCAAGUUAAGAUAGACAGAUAACACUGGGAUAUACGCACAACCAGGAGCUUAAGUUUGGAAACAAUAAUUAAGGAGGGAGACACAUAUGAUUAGGAUGUGGUAAUAGGAGGUUGUGAUGGCUUUCCUAGGCUUUGUUAAAUUUUUUGUUUCAAGGAAGAAUUGUGUGUUUUACACCACUUUGAAACUAUCUUUCACAAUUUACAUAGCUGAUAAUACACUUUUUUUUUUUUUUACGCAGUCUAGCUCUGUUGCCCAGGCUGCAGUGCAGUGGCACGAUCUCAGCUCACUGCAAUCUCUGCCUCCCGGGCUCAAGCGGUUCUCCUGCCUCAGCCUCCCAAGUAGCUGGGACUAUAGGCGCGCGCUACCAUGCCUGGCUAAUUUUUGUAUUUUUAGUAGCGAUGAGUUUCACCAUGUUGGCCAGGCUGAUCUCAAACUCCCUACCUCAAGUGAUCUGCUGCUUUGGCCUCCCAAAGUGCUGGGAUUACAGGCAUGAGCCACUGCGCCCGAACAUCUGAUGAUAUACUUUUUUUUUUUUUUUUUUGAGACAACGUCUUGUUCUGUCACCCAGGUUGGAGUGCUGUGAUUUCAUCUCACUGCAACCUCCGCUUCCCGGUUUCAAGUGAUUUUCCUGCCUCAGCCUUCUGAGUAGCUGGGACUACAGAUACGCAUCACCACACCUGGCUAAAUUUUUGUAUUUUUAGUAGAGACGGGGGUCUCACCAUGUUGGCCAGGCUGGUCUUGAACUCCUGACCUCAGGUGAUCCAUCCUCCUUGGCCUCCCAAUAUGCUGGGAUUACAGGCGUGAGCCACCACGCCCUGAUGAUAUACUUUUGAAAACUAUAUUACAUUUUCUACAGUUACACUGUCUUUCCUCUGAAAAAUCUGGAUGAUCUGUUAGAACAUUUGACCUAAGCUACACUCUUUGAUAAUGUAUUUGUGGAAGGAAUGAUUAAGUGCAUAAUUUAGUCCUUUGCAUACAAAAUGCAAUUUUGUUUAUUAGAAAUAUUUUAGAUAAUGCUUUGUAGGAUUUUUGUGUUAUUUUUAGAUCUGAAAAAGAUGAAGAAGAAUAAAACAUGGCAAGUCUAGAGGGAGGCACUGCUUGAAGUGCGUGAAACAAAUCAAGCAUCAACAAAAAUAGAAGCCCUUGAGAUGAAGAACAGAAAAUCUGUGAUUAUUAUCAUUAUUAGCUUCACAGGGAUGUUGAAGUGAUCAGGAUAUCAAUGACAUAAUUAAGUGGAAUUAUAUUUUUAAAAUUUGAGAAAUAAGGAAACCAUUGCUUUAGGAUAUGUCUCUUAUGUACUCAGAAAAGCUUGCUUUUGUAAGUUAAGCCUCAGUGAUGAAUAAAUAGUGCAUUUGUGGCUGGGCGUGGUAGCUCAUGCCUGCAAUCCCAGCACUUUGGGAGGUUGAGGCAGACAGAUCACCUGAGGUCAGGAGUUUGAGACAAGCCUGGCCAACAUGGUGAAACCCUGUUUCUACUAGAAAUACAAAAAAUAAGCUGGGCAUGGUGGUGCACACCUGUAGUCCCGGCUACUCGGGAAGCUGAGGCAGGAGAAUCGCUUGAACCCAGGAGGCAGAGGUUGCAGUGAGUCGAGAUUGCACCACUGCACUCCAGCCUGGGCAACAGAGUGAGACUCCAUCUAAAAAAAAAAAAAUAAUGCAUUUGUAUUAAUUACAUGGAUACAAUUCUGUAUACCAAAGAAAAAUAUCCACAUUUACUGGAGAUUCUUUUGUAGGCUGUGUAGAAUUUUACUUCAGGCUGGGUGUGGUGGCUCACACCUGUAAUCCCAGCACUUUGGGAGGCCAAGGCAGGCGGAUCACAAGGUCAGGAGAUUGAGACCAUCUUGGCCAACAUGGUGAAACCCUGUCUCUUCUAAAAUACAAAAAAUUAGCCAGGCAUGGUGGUGCGUGCCUGUAACACCAGCUACUUGGGAGGCUGAGGCAGGGGACUCACUUGAACCCGGGAGGUGGAACUUGCAGUGAGCUGAGAUCACGCCACUGUACUCCAGCCUGGUGACAGAGCAAGACUCCGUCGCAAAAAACAAAAAAAAAAAAACAAAAAGAAUUUCUUACUCAUAUGAACUUGACCCUGUGAACACUAUAAGAAAAACUUCUUUGCUACAGGUUGAUUUUCUUUUGGAAUGGGAUCCCUUUAUUCUGAUAAUUGAUUCUAACAGAAGACUUCUACUCAAUGCGAUAAUGGAAUGAUUUGGAGUAACUCUACUAUCAAAUCAGGGAAAGCUAGCCUCCAGGGUGAUCCAGAGGUUCUGCUGUCACCUUACAAAGCCAAAACAAGAUUUUUCACCAGGACUGGCCUUUGAAUAACAUAUAUGUUCCAUAACAAUACCUGGAAGGAGGCAUGUGUUUACAUGGCCUAGUGAUUUUCUCUGGUUGCUUUUGUGGAAUUCAGAUGCUGAUUUUAUCAGUGACUAACCGUGACGUGUGGGGACAUUGUAAGAUAAUUGCUGGAAUCUUGCUAUGUUGCCCUGGCAGGACUCGAACUCCUGCGCUCAAGCAGUCUUCCUGCCUUGGCCUCUGAGUAGCUAGAACUAUAGGUGCAUACCACUGCUCCUGGUGAAAGUGGCCAGGAAUUGAAAGAACAGAAAUUUUGUUGGUGGAGUGAUUUGUGCUGUCUCUAGCAAAAUAACACUGGGCGAGUAACUUGGCCUCUCUGAAUUUCAGUUUCUUUAUUUGUGAAAAGAAACUAAUAUUAGCCAGGUGCAGUGGCUCACGCCUGUAAUCCCAGCACUUUGGGAGGCCAAGGCAGGAGGAUCCCUUCAGCCCAGAAGUUCAAGAUUGGCCUGGGCAACAUAGCUAGAUCCCAUCUCUAAAAAAAGUAAAAAAUAAGUCAAGCAUGGUGGUGUGUGCUUGUGGUCCCAGCUACUUGGGAGGCUGAGGUGGGAGAAUUGCUUGAGCCUGGGAGGUUGUGGCUGCAGUGAGCCUUGAUUUCGCCACUGCACACGGCCUGGGCAACAGAGCGAGACCCUGUCUCAGAAAAAAGCCCGCAAACUGAUAUUACUUUAUAGGGUCUUGUGAAAAUAAAAUAAAACAUUAGCAUAGUACCUAGCAUACAAUAAAUAUAAUUAUUCUAUUAUCAAUAAUAUAAACAUGGAGGGCGAUUAUUAGCUCAUUUGCUACUCAAAGGUAUGUAACUCAAUAAAGAUGCAUUCUCUUCUAAUAUUAAGUUUCCAUUGUUAAUACAGAAAUAGUCCAGGUGUGGUGGUUCGUGCCUAUAAUCUCAGCACUUUGGGAGGCUGAAGCAGGUAGAGAAGUUCAAUUUUCUUUUCUCCCUGCAGGUGCUGCUGUCAAGCUUGAAUGAAAGGUAUCUCAUGGGUGGGCGCGGUGGCUCAUGCCUGCAAUCCCAGCACUUUGGGAGGCCAAGGCAGGCGGAUCGCUUGAGCUCAGGAGUUUGAGACCAGCCUGGACAAAACCCCAUCCCUGUAAAAAAUACAAAAAUUAGCUGGGUGUGGUGGCGCACGCUUAUAGUCCCAGCUACUCAGGAGGCUGAAGUGGGAGGAUCACUUGAGCCUGGGAGGCAAAGGCUUGCAGUGAGCCCAGAUUGCACCACUGCACUCUAGCCUGGGUGACAGAGUGAGACCAUAUCUCAAAAAAAAAAAAAAAAAGUUGGCUGGGCGCGGUGGCUCACGCUUGUAAUCCCAGCACUUUGGGAGGCCGAGGCAGGCGGAUCACGAGGUCAGGAGAUCGAGACCGCGGUGAAACCCCAUCUCUACUAAAAAUACAAAAAAUUAGCCGGGUGUGGUGGCGGGCGCCUGUAGUCCCAGCUACUCGGAGAGGCUGAGGCAGGAGAAUGGCGUGAACCCGGGAGGCGGAGCUUGCAGUGAGCCGAGACUGCGCCACUGCACUCCAGCCUGGGCGACAGAGCGAGACUCCGUCUCAAAAAAAAAAAAAAAAAAAAAAAAAAAAAAUCAAACAUUUCAAUAGAAACAUUACUGUAUAAGGUAUUAAAAUUAUGUAUUAACAUUUGAUCACCAAAGGAAAUAUAAGCAUUAUUGCAUUCUAUCUUUUAGUAUUGUUAAAUUUCUUUAUUUAGUCGACGUUGUAUUAAAGUUAAAUAAAUGCAUCCUUUUUUCUAUUGCUUUUUGUUUUUAGACUAGAAGUUGUUAUUCAGGAAGAAUAGAGACCAGGCUAUAUUUGUAGGGGUUGUGAAAGAAAUCUUAUAAAAGAUAAACUAAGAUUAGGCAGUAUUAGGUAGAUGCAAAAGCAUCAGAAUGCAUAGGAUGAGUAGGAUACAAAGUGUUGUUGAAAAGCCUUGGCUGGGCACAGUGGCUCAUGCCUGUAGUCCCAGAACUUUGGGAGGCCAAGGUGGGAGGAUCCAUAGGGUCAAGGAGUUUGAGACUGGCCCAGGCAACAUAGUGAGACCCCCAUCUCUUGAAAAAAAAAAAAAAGAAAAAAAAAAAAGGAAAGCCUUAUGUCUCAGAGCUAAGUGUCUGUUUUUAAACAAAUAUAGCCUUAGAUGUCCUGAAAAAAAUUUGUAAAGGUAAAUUUGGUUUGGGGUAGAGGUCAGGGAGCACUUGCAGAUGGGAUACAGAGAAUUUGGAAAACAAGCAGGGUUCCAAAGUACUGAGCAAUUUUCAGGAGGAGUAUAAAAGCCUAGGGGAUAAUUCCUAUGCAGCUGCAUAGGAAAUUUAUUUGAUAGCUGUAUUUUCAGGACCUGUUGACAUUUUAUUCAUCCUUAAAGGCCUCUUUCAGUUGCCAUUUCCCCUGAAGUCUUCUCAGUUUUUCUACUAGCUAAUAAGAAUCCAUUUCUCUCUUUUUUUUCUUUUUUUUUUUUUUUAGACAGAAUCUCACUGUCGCCCAGGCUGGAGUGCAGUGGUGCGAUGUCGGCCCUCCCAACCUCCGCCUUCCGGGUUUAAGCAAUUCUCUGCCUCAGCCUCCUGAGUAGCUAGGAUUACAGGCGCAUGCCACCAUGCCUGGCUAAUUUUUGUAUUUUUUAGUAGAGACGGGGUUUCACCAUCUUGGCCAGGCUGGUCUUGAACUCCUGACCUCAGGUGAUCCGUCCACCUCGGCCUCCCAAAGUGCCAGGAUUACAGGGAUGAGCCACCACGCCUAGCCAAGAACCUUCUCUUUAGACAAAAGGAACUGUUGUUUGGAGUAGCAUUUUAUUUAUACUUAUAAAAUGUUAUGUUACAGUUUGUGUUGUUACAUGAAUGUAUUUGUCUCUUAAAUCAUGGUAUAGUGUGAAGAAAAUGAGUUCUCAGGUUGGAAAUAUCUGGAUUUGAGUACUAGCUCUGACCUUUCCAACAAUGUGUCUUUUUGUCAUAUGAUGUUUCCUUUCCAACAAUGUGUCUUUUUGUCAUAUAAUGUUUAUUUUCAUAGGGUUGUUGGGAGGAUUAAAUGAAAUUAUAUCUGUAAAGUACCUUUUAUAACCUGCUAAUAUGCAGGUCAUAAUCUAAUGGUAUAGAAUUUUUGUUCUGUACUCUUUGAUAAGAAUUCUAAGGAGGUGGUUUGGAAAGAGAAAUGUACAGAUACCAGAUGAAAUCCAAAACCCAGGUAUACAACGAGUCAUAUGCAAGAUCUCUGUCUGUUAAUCUGCCUCAUGAAAAUGAUGAACCAGGAGAAUCUAUGGGACAGUAGGAAAAGCUGCCAGUCACUCAGAUUAUAAUAACAUUUACCUUAUACAUUUAUAAUGGAAAUCCUGCCACUAUUUACACCAGAAACAGUUUCUAUUGAGAAAAUGUAUUUUAAUAGAAAAUUCUCAUUUAAAAUUUGGGCAGAUAUCUGUAUUGUUGAGUUAACCAAAUGAGAAGAGAAAAAUCCUUACAAUGUAGCUUGUCAUUUACCUGACUUGAUGCAGACUGCUUUGCUUAGUAAUCAUGCAGCACUAUCAAGACUUUGUACAUGUCAGAAUCCAUCUACGUAAGAUGUAGUAUGGACUGAUGCCAAGCGAGCCUGGGGUGGAAAUCAGAACUGGAUGCAAAUCCUGAUGUUAUCUGAGAACAGGCACCUGUUAUAUAGGCUGUGUUACUGUGGCAAAGAUAAUGUUAAGUCAGGCGCGGUGGCUCACGCUUGUAAUCCCAGCACUUUGGGAGGCCGAGGCGGGCGGAUCACGAGGUCAGGAGAUCGAGACCACAGCGAAACCCCGUCUCUACUAAAAAUACAAAAAAUUAGCUGGGCGUGGUGGCGGGCGCCUGUAGUCCCAGCUACUCGGAGAGGCUGAGGCAGGAGAAUGGCGUGAACCCGGGAGGCGGAGCUUGCAGUGAGCCGAGAUUGCGCCACUGCACUCCAGCCUGGGCGACAGAGCGAGACUCCGUCUCAAAAAAAAAAAAAAUAAAAUAAAAUAAAAAAAUAAAUGUGGGUUUGAGAGGCCUACCCUGAAAUGUACAAGAUCCUGGCCAGACUUCACAGAUCUAACAAUAUGCUAGUUAUUAUUUGUUGACAUGUCUUAAAGAAAUGUUCAUCAGGGCCUCAGAAAGCAAGGCAGAGAAGAGGUCCCUGAAAUUUACUAGCUUGCACCAAACCAUCAGAUAAAGGUAGGUUAAUAUUUGACUGAGAAAACUCUUCAAAAACGACAGUGAAAUACUCUUGAGAUGAAUCCAGGUAUUAAAAAGUUCAGGAAAAAAAAUUGUCUCUGGAAAAAAAAAAGAAUCAAGGAGAGAUUGCUCUCUCUUGCGGUGAGGCGCAGUGGCUCAUACCUGUAAUCCCAGCACUUUGGGAGGCCAAAGCAGGAAGGUCACUUGAGCCCAGGAGUUUGAGACCAACCUUGGGCAACAUAGUGAGACCCCAUCUCUGAAAUUAUGUAAAUAAAAAUAUAAAAAUAAAAAAGAGAAAGCAAAUAACCCCAAAAUAACUAUUUUAUUUUUGUUUUUUAUUAUUUUUAUUUUUUUUGAUACUGAGUCUCACUCUGUCGCCCAGGUUGAAGUGCAGUGGCGCAUUCUCGGCUCACUGCAACCUCUGCCUCCCGAGUUCAAGUGAUUCUCCUGCCUCAGCCUCCCAAGUAGAUGGGAUUACACGUCCAGGUAUGUGCCACCACGCCCAUCUAAUUUUUAGUAGAGACAGGGUUUCACCAUGUUGGCCAGGCUGGUCUCGAACUUCUGACUUCAAGUGAUCUGCCCGCCUCAGCCUCCAUAAGUGCUAGGAUUACAGGCGUGAGCCACUGUGCCCAGCCAACUUUUAUUUUAAUAAUAGAGAUGCAGUCUCACUAUGUUGCCCAAGUUGGUCUUGAACUUCUGAGUUCAAGGGAUCCUCCCACCUCAGCCUCCCAAAGUGCAAGGAUUACAGGCAUAAGCCACUGUGCCUGGCCAAAAUAACUUAUUUUAUUUUAUUUUAUUUUAUUUUAUUUUAUUUUAUUUAUUUAUUUUUUUUGAGAUGGAGUCUCGCUCUGUCGCCCAGGCUGGAGUGCAGUGGCGCAAUCUCGGCUCACUGCAAGCUCCGCCUCCCGGGUUCACGCCAUUCUCCUGCCUCAGCCUCUCCGAGUAGCUGGGACUACAGGCGCCUGCCACCACGCCCGGCUAAUUUUUUUUUGUAUUUUUAGUAGAGACGGGGUUUCACCGUGGUCUCGAUCUCCUGACCUCGUGAUCCACCCACCUCGGCCUCCCAAAGUGCUGGGAUUACAAGCGUGAGCCACCGCGCCCGGCCGACUAUUUUAAUAUUAAGUUAAGAAUAGUACAGACGAGGCACAGUGGCUCAUGCCUGUAAUCCCAGCACUAUGAGAGGUCGAGGUGGGCGGAUCACAAGGUCAGGAGUUUAAGACCAGCCUGGCCAACGUGGUGAAACCCCAUCUCCACUAAAAAUACAAAAAAAAAAAAUUAUCCGGGCGUGGUAGUAGGCACCUGUAAUCCCAGCUACUGGGGAGGUUGAGGCAGGAGAAUCACUUGAACUUGGGAGGCAGAGGUUACAGUGAGCCGACAUUGCACCACUGCACUUCAGCCUGGGCGAUAAGAGCGAAAGUCCAUCUCAAAAAAAAAAAAAAGUAAAAGCCUGGGCACGGUGGUUCACACCUGUAAUCCCAGCACUUUGGGAGGCUGAGGCAGGUGGAUCACCUGAGUUCAGGAGUUUGAGACCAGCCUGGCCAACGUGGUGAAACCCCGUCUCUACUAAAAAUAUAAAAAUUAGCCGGGGAUGGUGUCACUUGCCUGUAAUCCCAGCUACUCAGGAGGCUGAGGUAGGAGAAUCACUUGAACCCAGGAGGCAGAGGUUGCAGUUAGCCAAGACUGCGCCACUGCACUCCAACUUGGGUGACAGAGAAAGACUGUCUUAAAAAAAAAAAAAGUACAGUAGGGAAAUUAUAGUUAACAAUAAUUUAUUGCAUAGCCCAGGCAACAUAGCAAGACCCUGUCUCUACAAAAAAACAAUUUUUUUAAUUAGCUGGGUGUGCUGGUGCACACCUGUAGGGAGGCUGAGGCAGGAGGAUCACUUGGGCCCAGGAGUUUGAGGUUACAGUGAGCUAUAACUGUAUUGUGCCACUGCACUCUAGCCUGGGUGACAGAGCAAGACCCUGUCUCUAAAAAAACAAAAUAAAAAAUAAUUUAUUGUAUAUUUCAGAAUAGCUAGAAAAGAAUUGUAAUGUUUCCAGCACAAUGUUUGUGGUAAUGGAUAUUCCAAUUACCCUGAUUUGAUCAUUAUACAUUGUAUACAGGUGUCAAAAUAUCACAUGUACCCCAAAAAUAUGUACAACAUGAUGUAUAAAUUUAAAAAAAGAAAACAUUCCAAACAUCUCUCCCUCUAUGUGUAUAUACAGAUAGGAAGACAGAUGGAGAGAUGAAUGAACAAUAAAAUAUAUAAAGGAAAUCAUACAUGAUACAUUUUAGGCACAGUUUAAUAAGUAUUUGAUGUAUUUGAAGAUCAGCUGUUAGCUCUCAUCCACACUGACUGUCAGUAGAUUUUUGAAGGUAGUAACAGAUACAUAGGUAACCAAAGUAUAGAGAGCUUGUUUGGUGAAUCUUCAUCCUUAUUAUGUUUUCUAGAUGACCACACAGGGAUACACUAUGGGAUAGUCCUUAUCUUUUGGCCCAGGAAGCUAUGUUGAACUUGGUAUCAAUGUGCACAUCUGGAGUCCCCAUCUCCUUCAUGGUGAAUUUCUGGAUCUCUAAGUGCCUCCUGAGGAGCUUGCUUUGCUUUUUUUUUUUUUUUUUUUUUUUUUUGGAGACGGAGUCUCACUCUGUUGCCCAGGCUGGAGUGCAGUAGUGUGAUCUCGGUUCACUGCAACCUCCACUUCCCGGGUUCGAGUGAUUCUCCUGCCUCAGCCUCCCAAGUAGCUGGGACUACUGGUGCACACCACUGUGCCUAGCUAAAAUUUUUUAAAUUUUUUUUAGAGAUGGAGUUUCACUGUGUUGGCCAGGCUGGUCUCCAACUUCUGACCUCGUGAUCUGCCCACCUAGGUCUCCCAAAGUGCUGAGAUUACAGGCGUGAGCCACCGCGUCCAGCCCCAGGGCUUGCUUUUUGAAGCCCACUCCAUGGAGGCACCUGUGAAUACUGAUGGUGUAUUCUCGGGUCACCACCUGGUAGAUGCAGAAUGGCCCGUUCUUUUUUGCCAUCCUUUUCAGGAACCAUUCUGCCAGGCCCAAAUUGGAAAGCUUACAUGAUAAUUUUUAACAAAAAUAGUAUUUUAUUGGUGGUGAUCUGAGUACAUUUGCAGUUUUCCUCCUUUUCCCCAAACUCUAGAAAUGACAGGAAGAAAGUAUUUAAUGUAUUCAUAGAAGCAUUUGAAAACAAGACGAAUUCUCUUACGAGAAAUUCUCUGCUAAAAUUAGAUGGGAGUGAAUCGAAGAGGGUAAUGGCAGUCCAGUGUAUAUGUGGGAAUUCAACUCAUAGUACUACCUCAAGAAGUGGGAGCUCUAUUCUCACAUUGCCGGUAGUGGAAACUGGAAGCAGGAUGAAGACUCAUUAUGGGAGCUGGUACAGUGCAGACCCAUUCUCCCUGUACCCGCCCUGGCCUCCCAUCUGUAAGUCAUGCAUCUGCAACCACUAUCUCCAGACAGGAGCAGUGUCUCAGAGGUAGAGCAGUGCCUCAAGUAGCUGACAAUACCAGGGAGAAAUAAGGAGCACUUAGGCCUGGAAAACUAGCUAGGCAUCUUUUCUUAUAGCAUACUCUACACAUCUUCCAGUCUUACUGAAAAACACAUGGAGCGUAAGUUUUCAUCAUCUUCUUUCUCAGCUUUCAUAAUCUUUUCAUCUUUUUCUUUUUUUUGAGAUGGAGUCUUGCUCUGUUACCAGGCUGGAGUGCAGUGGUGCGAUCUCGGCUCACUGCAACCUCCGCCUCCUGGGUUCAAGCGAUUCUCCUGCCUCAGCCUCCCGAGUAGCUGGGACUACAGGCACAUGCCACCAUGCCCGGCUAAUUUAUUGUAUUUUUAGUAGAGACGGGGUUUCACCAUAUUAGCCAGGAUGGCCUCAAUCUCCUGACCUCGUGAUCCGCCCUCCUCAGCCUCCCAAAGUGCUGGGAUUACAGGCAUGAGCCACCGUGCCCAGCCCUCAUCAUCUUUAUCUUUAACCUUUGUGAUAUGUUCAUGUGUUUCCUUAAGAUGUCUCAUUUAUUAGUUUUUUAAUGAUGCUGUUUCGAUCCUGUCUGUUUCCUUGUCUCUUCAAUCUUCCUCUUCAUCUCAAGUUGUCUUAUCAUAUUGUCUUUGGGCCUUUUUUAAAAAGAGAAUUCAUGGCCAGGCGCGGUAGCUCACGCCUAUAAUCCCAGCACUUCGGGAGGCCGAGGUGGGUGGAUCACCUGAGGUCAGGAGUUCGAGACCAGCCUGGCAAACCUGGUGAAACUCCAUCUCUACUAAAAAUACAAAAAUUAGCUGGGUGUGGCAGUGGGCACCUGUAAUCCCAGCUACUCGGGAGGCUGAGGCAGGAGAAUAACUUGAAUCCUGGAGGCGGAGGUUGCAGUGAGCUGAGAUCAUGCCACUGCACUCCAGCCUGGGUGACAGAGGGAGACUCCAUCUCAAAAAAAAAAAAAAAAAAAAGAAAGAAAGACAAUUCAUUCUAUUAUUAGAUUGUUGUAUAAAACAAAUCACUUGUGGUAAUUUCCUUUCAUUUCUUGAGUUAUGCUAUCUUCCAGAAUGAGGUUGGUUAUUGCAGGUUUGGAAAGGUCUUUAUUUUCCCUCAUGCCUGACUGGUAGAGGAUCAAAUUCUAAGCUGAAAACAGAGUUUUAUUUAUUUUUAUUUAUUUAUUUUUUUGAGACAGGGUCUCACUCUGUAGAUCCUGUACAGAGGCUGUAGUUUAGUGGCACGGUCACGGCUCACUGCAGCCUUGACCUCGUGGGCUCAAGUGAUCCUCCCACCUCACUCUCCUGAGUAGCUGGGACUACAGGCUCAAGCCACCAUUCCCGGCUAAUUUUUGCAUUUUUUGUAGAGACAGGUUUUCCCCAUGUUGCCUAGGCUGGUCUAGGACUCCCGGGCUCAAGCAAUCUGCUUGCCUUGGCCUCCUAAAGUGCUGAGACUGCAGGCAUGAGCCACUGUACCCAGCCACUGAAAACAAUAGUUUAAUUUUUAUUAUAUUUAUAGAUAUUUUUCAGCAACCAUACUUUUUAUUUCCAAGAUCUCUUUCUUGUUCUCUGUUCUCUGUUCCUUUUCUAUAGCAGACUAUAUUUUGUUAAACUGAUUAAAUAUAUUCCUAAAAACUUUCUGAGUAUACUUUCUGAAAUUUUGAAUUUCAAAAUAGUUCCUUUCCAUUAAAUUCUGUUUGUUUACUUUGGUUCUGCUCUGUUUGCUUUGCUAUUUCUUCAAAUUUCUGGGAGUUCUUGGCUGUCCAUUCCUAUUUAAGAAUAUAGGCAUGUAGUAUGGACCAUCUAUACUGUCUUGUAGGUAAUCUGUUUCUCUAAUAUAGGCUCACUCCAGGAUGGGUAAGCUGGCUCAGGUUUCUUUCUACAAGGGUGGUAUAUGUCAAGUGGUAGGCACAGAAUGCACAGAGAAGGAGCAGUCUGGGAGGUUAGGUCCUCUGAAAUUCCAAGAUGAGAGAGGUUCCCACUCUUAGGGCCAGCAUUCACUCUAGAAGACCUACUGUAUCCAGGCAGAUCAUUCUUUUCUGAGACAGAGUCUUGCUCUGUUGCCCAGGCUGGAGUGCAAUGGCACGAUCUCGGCUCACUAAAACCUCCACCACCUGGGUUCAAGCAAUUCUCCUGUCUCAGCCUCCUGAGUAGCUGGGACUACAGGCGCAUGCCACCAUGCCCGGCUAAUUUUUGUAUUUUUAAUAGAGAUGGAGUUUCACCAUAUUGGUCAGGCUGGUUUCGAACUCCUGACCUCAGGUGAUCCACCUGCCUCGGCCUCCCGAAGUGUUGGGAUUACAGGCUUGAGCCACCGCACUCAGCCAGAUCAUUCUUUUUAAUCUUUGCUUAUCUGAUGUGCAAAAAAGUCAGAAGCUUUAAUGAUUAAGAAAGAAUAAAAUUAAAUGGACUAAGCAUGUUUGAGAAACUAAAAAAUGAAUGACAAAAUAAAUGAAAGGAAAAUAAAGAAAAAGAAGUAAAGGCUGGGCGCGGUGGCUCACGCCUGUAAUCCCAGCACUUUGGGAGGCUGAGGCAGGUGGAUCACGAGGUCAGGAGAUCGAGACCAUCCUGGCUAACAUGGUGAAACCCCGUCUCUAUUAAAAAAUACAAAAAAUUAGCCAGGCGUGGUGGCGGGUGCCUGUAGUCCAAGCUACUCAGGAGGCUGAGGCAGGAUAAUGGCGUGAACCCGGAAAAAAAAAAAAGAAAAAGAAGUAAAGAUCAGCCGGGCGCGGUGGCUCACGCUUGUAAUCCCAGCACUUUGGGAGGCCGAGGCGGGCGGAUCACGAGGUCAGGAGAUCGAGACCACGGUGAAACCCCGUCUCUACUAAAAAUACAAAAAAUUAGCCGGGCGUGGUGGCGGGCGCCUGUAGUCCCAGCUACUCGGAGAGGCUGAGGCAGGAGAAUGGCGUGAACCCGGGAGGCGGAGCUUGCAGCGAGCCGAGAUCGUGCCACUGCACUCCAGCCUGGGCGACAGAGCCAGACUCCGUCUCAAAAAAAAACAAACAAAAAAAAAAACCAAAAAAAAAAAAAAAAAGA